ACCGUGACUUAUUAUUCUGAAGACAUAUACAGUGCCAUAAAGCCGGAGAGUCAUAUUUGAUCUGUAUACCUCGCUUCCUCUCAACGAUAAAGUUUAUGUUAUUUGUAAACACUUUUUAAUGCUGAUUGGUGAAAGGAGUGAGGUGCCUCGGGUGUCGCAAGGGGGCGCUAGGGUAUAACCACAUCUCUGCAUCGCUGUGAAAAUAUGGAUUUAUUACGUUAAAGACCUCUUUAAAGGAUUUACAUACAUUUUUUUGAAUGAAAAAAAAAAUGUUACACUAAAAGCAACAGAUAUCAAUAAAUAUGAUUAAUAAAACAUAUAGCAAAUAGUGUUUAAUAAUGGAUGCAGUGCAUUAGAAUUAUCCGUGUACGUUUUUGUUUGUUUGUUUUGUUUUGUUUUUCGCGGGACAUAUCCGUGCAAGAGAAUUGACGCCCGGUGAUCUGUCAUCAGUAAACCUCUCCCAUCCGACUCAGAGGAGGAGUGUGGCGUGUCACAGUACAAACGAGGAAUAGGAGGAAUAACCGCUAGCAUUUCUCAUAUCAACGUCUGAUGUUCCGCUAAUGCAAAGCUGUUUAAGUUACUUUUCCUUGUUUGUUAGUUAUGCUAUGCGCUGAAUAUUAACAGUAUCGAUCAGUCGGACUGAUCAGUGGUCAAUGGUGUGAGCGGCUCUCUCUCUCUCUCUCUCUCUGGAUACCAGCAGAUUCAAUGCAAACGAGAGCCGGAGGUGAUGAAAGAUCUGGCUGUUGGAGUCUUUCUGGUCUGCUUUGGCUUUCUGCACCUGUUGUCCAAACUGAAGCGAUCUUGCAGACUGCGGCUCAGCUGUGAUGAAAACGCCUGGCGUAAACUGACAGGUGGAUUUCUGUUGUAUUUGAGGAAAGUAAGGGACUCUCGCAGUCUCUCUGUGGUAAAAUAGGGUGUUUCUUCAUACCACACCUAACUUUUUAGAUUCAGGUAAACUGAGUUAGCACAAAAAAGCAGAACAUUUCUUUUCAGGCAGAACAUUUCACUGAAAAAUUUUCCACAUAUUAUGUAAAGUACAGCUUUAACUCUGGGUUAGUGAUCGCAAACCGAAACUGUGAGCAAAUGAAGUGACGUGUACCUGAUGUAAUAAAGCCACGCCCCCUGUAUCUCUCA
ensembl:lncRNA